rnacentral:rRNA from 1 species
CACGUAGAAGGCGAACGUUAUUCGGAUUCACUGGGCGUAAAGCGGGUGUAGACGGCCUCUCAAGUCGGAUGUGAAAUCUCUUGACUCAAUCAAGAGGGGUCAUUCGAUACUGGGAAGCUUGAGGGCAGCAGAAGAAGGCGGAACUCCUGGUGUAGCGGUGAUAUGCGUAGAUAUCAGGAGGAACACCAGUGGCGAAGGCGGCCUUCUAGGCUGUUCCUGACGUUGAGACCCAAAAGCGUGGGGAGCGAAACGGAUUAGAUACCCUUGUA